GCCUGGGUGGCUCAGUCGGUUGAGCAACCGAUUUCAGCUCAGGUCAUGAUUUCAUGGUUCGUGAGUUCGAGCCCCGCAUCAGGCU
rnacentral:tRNA from 1 species